rnacentral:lncRNA from 1 species
AGGGAGGAAGGGAAGAAGGAAGGAAGGAAGGAAGGAAGGAAGGAAGGAAGGAAGGCAGGCAGGCAGGCAGGCAGGCAGGCAGGCAGGCAGGCUUUCUUUGAACUAUGGUUCAAGCAAACUCAGGGUUCCAGAGCAGUAACAGUCCAUUGUGGUAGGAGAAGCCAAGCUGAGGGCAUGGCUGAGGGGACAGAAACAGCUGAGAGCUCUUAUCUUUUAACCACAAGUCUGACGGGAAUGGCCUGCCAGAGGGAGGCUUUAUCCUCUCAGAGCCCACCCCAGGGAACCAUGUCCACCUGCCUGCCUGAACCACUUACAUUACAAAGCAGCGACACCAGUGGGCAGCAAGUGUUCAAUACCUGAGUCCUGAGGGACGUUUCCCACCCUACCACCACCGAAAGUGUAGUUACAUAAAAUUCCUGCCUUCAGAAUGUAAAGAAAGGUGCAGGAUGUGUCUUCAGUCUUUCACUUGUGUUUCUCUCAGACUAGAAAUGGACUUAAAGAUAAGCUCCUUUUUGUAGAAAUUAAAUGGAGAAAGUGCCAGUUCACACAAAAGUAAUAUUGGUAAUUUUUACACAUGUAAGUACAUACUUAAUUGUUCCCAUAAUGAAAUUAGUAUAAAUCAGAUCUGAAAUAUAAUGAUAUUAUAUUCCUUUUUGGAAUAAAAAGGAUUUUCUAUUAAAUUGGGUAGUUGGAAAAUAAGCCUAAUCCAAAAUGUGUUAGUAGCAAUGUCGUCUCUUAGUAAUAUAUCAAGACAGAGAUGCACUCAUAAAUAGUCAUGGUUUUGUAUGUCAAUGAUAAGCAAAGAGCUAGAAAAAUGGCUCAGUAGUUAAAAGCAUUUGCUCUUUCAAAGGACCCCAGUAGGUUUUAUCUCAAAAGG